ensembl:lncRNA
AGUGAUUUGAAAGAAUCUGUGAAUUCAUGAGGACAAAGAAAACCAAAAAACAAAAAACCUAAAGAUGUUGGAAAAUGUAUUUAUAAUUAAUAAUUCAGAUUUUUUUUUCAUUCAGGAAGUCUAUUCACAUUCAUUGUGGUAUUUAUAUUUUAGACUCAGAUGUCUAUCCUCCACAUCUGCCCUACUGUACAUCUCUGCAAGAAAGACUACGAGGUCCAGGACAUAGACCUGAACAUCCAAUUAUGGUCAUCUUUAACCCUGGGAAUUUCAGUCCCAGGAAGCCUUUGGUCUUGCCUAGUUAGCAGCCUUCCAGAAGUCUGUAGGUAUUAUUCAGAAGGAGUCUGUUCCAUGGACUAUUCUCCAUGGGACAUUUAGAUUCAGCAACUCUAUUUCUGAAGAAUUGGUUGAGAUGCCCCGUGAUGGCUGGAUUUGCAGGUUCUGAGAAAGAAGUCCUCUUGGUCUUGGGAGACAUGUACAGCAGGCCCAGGACAAUUUCCAGAUACUCAACCAGAUAAUGAAAUGUAAGGUAUAAUUCUGGGUAUCAGAUUCAAACAUGGGAGACACAUCUCUAAAUCUGCUUGUUCAUCUCUGCCUGCCGUGAAGCUUUAAAGACAGACAGAUUUGCUUAUAGAGACAGCCCAGGGAGGUAGCAACUACCAUUCCAAUGUUACGCAGAAAUUCUCCAGAGUUCUGCAAUAACUAUUCCUGAAUGAAUCACUAUAAUCUCUACAUUUACCUUCAGCCAUUCAGUUUUACUAUGGAAUAAUGGCCAAAUGAAAUGCAUUCUUAUAUCAAAGAAGACAAUUACCGCUAGAGAAAUCAAGAGCAAGAAGGUUGUUAGAUAUCUCAUCAAAUAAUGAUAGCUGAGAUUGUCCUGAUAUAAGGCAAAAAAAAAAAAAAAAAAAAAAAAGCUCAAGAGAAGAAGAAGUUCAAAAGAAGUUCAACGAGAUGUUGGUAUACCUGUGAAAAAGAAAUGAAAUUUGGUCUCACUCCAGUUUGAUAUCAGAGAACUCCAUUAAGUUAACUAUAGAAGCAUGUGAUAUGAUCGAUAUGAUCUGAGUGAAACAUCUAAGUGAAGACCAGUAGCUCUAGGACUGUCAAACACUUGCUGAGUGUCACAGAGAAGCAAUGAUUCUGGAAUCUGCAUACAACUGACUAAUGGUACGAAUGGUUAAUGACAU